UACGUAGGGGGCAAGCGUUGUCCGGAAUCAUUGGGCGUAAAGAGCGUGUAGGCGGCUCGAUAAGUCUGCUGUGAAAGUCCAGGGCUCAACCCUGGAAGGCCGGUGGAAACUGUCGGGCUAGAGUCCGGAAGAGGCGAGUGGAAUUCCCGGUGUAGCGGUGAAAUGCGCAGAUAUCGGGAGGAACACCAAUGGCGAAGGCGGCGACCUGGGUCGACACUGACGCUGAGGCGCGAAAGCGUGGGGAGCAAACAGG
rnacentral:rRNA from 1 species